GAUUCGGUAGCGGACGGUCCGCAUCUGCUCAAAAUUAGGUCUUUUCCAAACUGCACCGCAGAAGCCGCCUGUUCGACUCAGGCCCGGGUCG